AGGCMMCSGGUCWAAUWWCSKUGUCAGCAGGCGSGGUAAACGUAGGKGCCAGCGUGUCGGAAUUWUUGGGSKAAAGGGCUCGCAGGCGGUUUUCUUAAGUCUGAUKUGAAAGCCCCGGCUCACCGGGGAGGGUCAUUGGAAACUGGGAAACUUGAGUGCAGAAGAGGAGAGUGGAAUUCCACGUGUAGCGGUGAAAUGCGUAGAGAUGUGGAGGAACACCCAGUGGCGAAGGCGACUCUCUGGUCUGUAACUGACGCUGAGGAGCGAAAGCGUGGGGAGCGAACAGGAUUAGAUACCCUGGUAGUCCACGCCGUAAACGAUGAGUGCUAAGUGUUAGGGGGUUUCCGCCCCUUAGUGCUGCAGCUAACGCAUUAAGCACUCCGCCUGGGGAGUACGGUCGCAAGACUGAAACUCAAAGGAAUUGACGGGGGCCCGCACAAGCGGUGGAGCAUGUGGUUUAAUUCGAAGCAACGCGAAGAACCUUACCAGGUCUUGACAUCCUCUGACAACCCUAGAGAUAGGGCUUUCCCUUCGGGGACAGAGUGACAGGUGGUGCAUGGUUGUCGUCAGCUCGUGUCGUGAGAUGUUGGGUUAAGUCCCGCAACGAGCGCAACCCUUGAUCUUAGUUGCCAGCAUUCAGUUGGGCACUCUAAGGUGACUGCCGGUGACAAACCGGAGGAAGGUGGGGAUGACGUCAAAUCAUCAUGCCCCUUAUGACCUGGGCUACACACGUGCUACAAUGGACAGAACAAAGGGCUGCAAGACCGCAAGGUUUAGCCAAUCCCAUAAAUCUGUUCUCAGUUCGGAUCGCAGUCUGCAACUCGACUGCGUGAAGCUGGAAUCGCUAGUAAUCGCGGAUCAGCAUGCCGCGGKGAAUACGUUCCCGGGCCUUGUACACACCGCCCGUCACACCACGAGAGUUUGCAACACCCGAAGUCGGUGAGGKAACCWYWAWKKGGKCCCAGGKGUGSSGC
rnacentral:rRNA from 1 species